rnacentral:rRNA from 1 species
CCUUGACCUCGGAUCAGGUAGGACUACCCGCUGAACUUAAGCAUAUCAAUAAGCGGAGGAAAAGAAACCAACAGGGAUUGCCCCAGUAACGGCGAGUGAAGCGGCAACAGCCCAAAUUUGAAAUCUGGCCGCCUCGGGCGGCCCGAGUUGUAAUUUGGAGAGGAUGCUUCUGGCGGUCGUGCCCCCCCGAGUCCCCUGGAACGGGGCGCCUGAGAGGGUGAGAGCCCCGUCGGCCGGGGCGCGACCGCCUCUGCGAAGCUCCUUCGAAGAGUCGAGCAGUUUGGGAAUGCUGCUCCAAGCGGGAGGUAAAUUCCUUCUAAGGCUAAAUAUACGCCAGAGACCGAUAGCGUACAAGUAGAGUGAUCGAAAGAUGAAAAGCACCUUGGAAAGGGGGUUAAACAGUACGUGAAAUUGCUGAAAGGGAAGCGCUUGCGGCCAGACUCGCGCCGGCGGGAUCAUCCAGCGCUCAGCGCUGGUGCACUCCGGCCGGCCGCGGGCCAGCAUCGGUUCUGCCGGGGGGGACAAAAGCCUGGGAAACGUAGCUCCCUCCGGGGAGUGUUAUAGUCCCUCGCCCAAUGCCCCCCGCGGGACCGAGGAGCGCGCCCUACGGGCGAGGAUGCUGGCGUAAUGGCCGCAAGCGGCCCGUCUUGAAACACGGACCAAGGAGUCGAACAUCCGCGCGAGUGUUCGGGUGCAAAACCCUGGACGCGUAGUGAAAGCGAACGCUGGUGGGAGCCUCCGGGCGCACCAUCGACCGAUCCUGAUGUAUUCGGACGGAUUUGAGUAUGAGCGCGGCUGUUCAGACCCGAAAGAUGGUGAACUAUGCCUGCGUAGGGCGAAGCCAGAGGAAACUCUGGUGGAGGCUCGCAGCGGUUCUGACGUGCAAAUCGAUCGUCAAACGUGGGCAUGGGGGCGAAAGACUAAUCGAACCAUCUAGUAGCUGGUUUCCGCCGAAGUUUCCCUCAGGAUAGCAGUGCUGAUCUCAGUUUUAUGAGGUAAAGCGAAUGAUUAGGGACCCGGGGGCGCUGAUAAGCCUUCAUCCAUUCUCAAACUUUGAAUGCGUAAGAAGCCCUUGUCACUUAGUUGGACGCGGGCAUUCGAAUGCAGCAGCACUAGUGGGCCAUUUUUGGUAAGCAGAACUGGCGAUGCGGGAUGAACCGAACGCGGGGUUAAGGUGCCGGAGUGGACGCUCAUCAGACACCACAAAAGGCGUUAGUACAUCUUGACAGCAGGACGGUGGCCAUGGAAGUCGGAAUCCGCUAAGGACUGUGUAACAACUCACCUGCCGAAUGUACUAGCCCUGAAAAUGGAUGGCGCUCAAGCGUCCCACCCAUACCCCGCCCCCUGGGCAGGCGCCGAGGCCCAGGGGAGUAGGCGGACGCGGGGGUCUGUGACGAAGCCCAGGGCGCGAGCCCGGGUCGAACGGCCCCUG